UACGUAGGUGGCAAGCGUUGUCCGGAAUUAUUGGGCGUAAAGCGCGCGCAGGCGGUCCUUUAAGUCUGAUGUGAAAGCCCACGGCUCAACCGUGGAGGGUCAUUGGAAACUGGGGGGACUUGAGUGCAGAAGAGGAAAGCGGAAUUCCAAGUGUAGCGGUGAAAUUCGUAGAUAUUCGGAAGAACACCAGUGGCGAAGGCGACUUACUGGACACAUAUUGACGCUGAGGUGCGAAAGCGUGGGGAGCAAACAGG
rnacentral:rRNA from 1 species